UGGGUCACCUCCCACCCGUGUUUAUUUUACCUUGUUGCUUCGGCGGGCCCGCCUUAACUGGCCGCCGGGGGGCUUACGCCCCCGGGCCCGCGCCCGCCGAAGACACCCUCGAACUCUGUCUGAAGAUUGAAGUCUGAGUGAAAAUAUAAAUUAUUUAAAACUUUCAACAACGGAUCUCUUGGUUCCGGCAUCGAUGAAGAACGCAGCGAAAUGCGAUACGUAAUGUGAAUUGCAAAUUCAGUGAAUCAUCGAGUCUUUGAACGCACAUUGCGCCCCCUGGUAUUCCGGGGGGCAUGCCUGUCCGAGCGUCAUUGCUGCCCUCAAGCCCGGCUUGUGUGUUGGGCCCCGUCCCCCGAUCUCCGGGGGACGGGCCCGAAAGGCAGCGGCGGCACCGCGUCCGGUCCUCGAGCGUAUGGGGCUUUGUCACCCGCUCUGUAGGCCCGGCCGGCGCUUGCCGAUCAACCCAAAUUUUUAUCCAGGUUGACCUCGGAUCAGGUAGGGAUACCCGCUGAACUUAAGCAUAUCAAUAAGGAGGGAGGAAUACCGAGUG
rnacentral:rRNA from 1 species